rnacentral:rRNA from 1 species
AUUGAACGCUGGCGGCAGGCCUAACACAUGCAAGUCGAGCGGAUGACGGGAGCUUGCUCCUUGAUUCAGCGGCGGACGGGUGAGUAAUGCCUAGGAAUCUGCCUGGUAGUGGGGGACAACGUUUCGAAAGGAACGCUAAUACCGCAUACGUCCUACGGGAGAAAGCAGGGGACCUUCGGGCCUUGCGCUAUCAGAUGAGCCUAGGUCGGAUUAGCUAGUUGGUGGGGUAAUGGCUCACCAAGGCGACGAUCCGUAACUGGUCUGAGAGGAUGAUCAGUCACACUGGAACUGAGACACGGUCCAGACUCCGACGGGAGGCAGCAGUGGGGAGUAUUGGACAAUGGGCGAAAGCCUGAUCCAGCCAUGCCGCGUGUGUGAAGAAGGUCUUCGGAUUGUAAAGCACUUUAAGUUGGGAGGAAGGGCAGUAAGUUAAUACCUUGCUGUUUUGACGUUACCGACAGAAUAAGCACCGGCUAACUCUGUGCCAGCCGCCGCCGUAAUAC